rnacentral:rRNA from 1 species
UACGGGGGGGGCAAGCGUUGUUCGGAAUUACUGGGCGUAAAGGGCUCGUAGGCGGCCAACUAAGUCGGAUGUGAAAUCCCCAAGCUUAACUUGGGAACUGCAUCCGAUACUGGAUGGCUUGAAUCCGGGAGAGGGAUGCAGAAUUCCAGGUGUAGCGGUGAAAUGCGUAGAUAUCUGGAGGAACACCGGUGGCGAAGGCGGCAUCCUGGACCGGUAUUGACGCUGAGGAGCGAAAGCCAGGGGAGCAAACGGG